UACAGAGGGUGCAAGCGUUAAUCGGAAUUACUGGGCGUAAAGCGUGCGUAGACGGUUAUUUAAGUCAGGUGUGAAAGCCCCGGGCUCAACCUGGGAAUUGCAUUUGAGACUGAAUAGCUAGGGUGCGGAAGAGGGAAGCGGAAUUUCCGGUGUAGCGGUGAAAUGCGUAGAUAUCGGAAGGAACACCAGUGGCGAAGGCGAGUCUCUGGGAUGAUGCUGACGCUGAGGCGCGAAAGCCAGGGGAGCAAACGGG
rnacentral:rRNA from 1 species